CAGUGGCCCCUGGGAGCUGGGGCAGCAGGCCCAUCUUAAGGAUGAGUGAACAGAGGCUCCACCUGAGACACCCAUUCCGGUUCCCCAGGCUGGGGAAGCUCAGAGCUGCCUGAUGGCACAGCCGCGUGAGGUUUUAUCUGAGCUGGACUCAGCCUCUAACUCCCAUGCUGCCCAUGGAGGGAGAGAGGAGUCGGCCCCCCCCAAGUCAGGCAGCACAUAAGUUGCUGAGCAGUCCCCUCUGCCUGAGGCCUCAGCCUCCAAAUCUGUCAUCAGAGAGGGUUGUGCUGCCAGGUCCCUCAGCCUCCCCCCAUGUCCUCCUACUCUGGAGCCCAGAGCCCGGCCUAGGUCCAAGUCCUGUUUUCUCUGCAUGCUCCGCCCCCUCUGGGGACCUGGCGGUCGUGCAACAUGAGAAGGGGUGGACAUAAGGGGCUAGUCAGGCUAUGGCAUUCUGUCUGAUGGACUCUGGUUGUCUACCUUCCAGGGGAAUGAGAUCAACCUUAAGAAAGGGACUGAGGAAUACCGAGUCAUGAGGGAGAUGCUGCUGCUCCCAGUGGUUGCAAAGAAUUACAACCAGAGCCGGAGGAGCGAUUUGGGGCCUGAUUCCAGGACAUGGAGCUACUCAACGAGAAUGAUAGUUGAGGCUGUGCAGGAGUUGAGUGAGGGCAGGGGUGGACUCUCCAUGUUGGCCAGUCCAGAGAGCCUGUCUCCGUGGCCCUCUGCUCAGCCCCAGUCCUUAUUGCUUGGCAAACUCUGGGACACCCAGACUCCAGCUGCUGGGCAGGCAGUGGGGGGACACCUGAGGUGUGGCUCCUGGUAGGCUCAGAGGUGCCUCUCUGUACUGUAGCUACAGCCUGUCCUGCCUGCUAGAGCCCCAGACCUAGUUGGCCAGCAGAAUAUUCAAGGCCAAGAAGAACCGGCCAUCAUCAAGUUCAGGGCCCCCAGGCCCCAAUACCGAGCCACGUACCAGUGGCCUAUCACAGCCCCAUCCUCAG